UUCUUCUGGAGUUGUAUCAGGUUGACUAUAUAAGGGAUGGACACCUUUGAAAAAGAUGAGAUGCCGAUGUUAUCACCAUCAUAUCCACAGUCUGAUGGAAAUGACGCCUUUCAAAAUCGACGUUCUACGUACAGGACAAGGAGUGCAUCCCUGUCAAUGCCAAUGAGCUCUAUAGAUUCAUUUGAAAAUGAUAGUAGUUAUGUAGGCUAUACUGGUCCUUUGAGAAGUGAGAGGCGAACUUCAUUGG
rnacentral:misc_RNA from 1 species